UCCAGGGGCUGAUAGACUCUUCUCUAUGU
rnacentral:piRNA from 1 species